AGUGAACGCUGGCGGUAGGCCUAACACAUGCAAGUCGAACGGCAGCACAGUAAGAGCUUGCUCUUACGGGUGGCGAGUGGCGGACGGGUGAGGAAUACAUCGGAAUCUACUUUUUCGUGGGGGAUAACGUAGGGAAACUUACGCUAAUACCGCAUACGACCUACGGGUGAAAGCAGGGGAUCUUCGGACCUUGCGCGAUUGAAUGAGCCGAUGUCGGAUUAGCUAGUUGGCGGGGUAAAGGCCCACCAAGGCGACGAUCCGUAGCUGGUCUGAGAGGAUGAUCAGCCACACUGGAAAUGAGACACGGUCCAGACUCCGACGGGAGGCAGCAGUGGGGAAUAUUGGACAAUGGGCGCAAGCCUGAUCCAGCCAUACCGCGUGGGUGAAGAAGGCCUUCGGGUUGUAAAGCCCUUUUGUUGGGAAAGAAAAGCAGCAGGUUAAUACCCCGCUGUUCUGACGGUACCCAAAGAAUAAGCACCGGCGAACUGCGU
rnacentral:rRNA from 1 species